rnacentral:lncRNA from 1 species
ACGACUCUUAUUCGUUCCAUCAUUUUAAGCUUACCAACCCCCCCUCCCCCCCACCCAAAACUCUAAGUCAUUCCCUCACUCACCAUCCGCCUCCUUUCCCCUUUUAUCUCUUACUUUCAUCAUUCUCUCUUCUCUGUCACACCUAGGAUUUUGCACAAAUUAGUGCAAGGCCACUAAAGGAUGAUUGUGACACCGAUAUCAUUACUCAAACCGUGAUUCUAGCCGAAAAUAUUCCACUCUCAUCAUCCCUUUCAAACCCCCAAAUUUUGAAACCUUAGCCGAAAAAAUGAAAGGCCCCGAAUCUCAUCAUCACACCCAUUUUCUGUUCAAAUCGCGAUUAAAACAUGUCAUGCAUUCCAGAUUCAUUAGAAUUUUCCAGCCUCAUCAUGGCGAUCAAUGACCCAAAGGUCAAACGAAGGGAUUAGGGUUAUAACUUUGUCCGGCGGUCACUGGCUUCAACGGCUAUCAAUUUCGUCAUUCCUAAAGUUAACAUUCUCACUCUUUUCUUUUCCUCCUCUGAUUUUAGAACCUCUAGAUUCUGUCAUGAGAGCCUGUCAUAAGUGUUUAUUAUAGUCUCUACCUUCUAUUAAUUUGAAUCUUCAAAACUUAAACCCUAAGGCCAAUCCUUGGCUAUAAACACCGGCUUAAAUUGCCUCACCUAACAUCAAACAACUAGCAGUAAAUGCAACUACACUAAAGUAUAAAUCUCUUUGCCUAUCGCUUACAAUUUCUUUUCCUUUCUUUUUAUUUUAGCUUGAGAUUAAUCGUCUUAAAGUAGAUUGUUGAGUACUAAUUCCUUUGGCUAAAUUCAAUACCUGGUUUGUUGCCCUAAGGAAGGCAGUACACCUCUUUACAACUCACUUUAAUAUUUGAGCUCUGCUUAUAAUCUUCUAUCUAUGGUUAUUCUGCUUAUUCUGCUGAUAUUCUUGUGAUUGACAUGUUUUCUUACCAUGUCAAUAUGAAUAUAACAUGAAAUAUGUUUAUGAAUUUGCUUACUUAGCAUGAUUACUUUUCAUGACUCGACUGUGAUCCUACUUUGUUUGGUCAAAUAGUGACCGGUCUGAAAUAUGUGCUUACCUUAUGGUUAUUAACGCAGAUGAUACUCUCUACCAUUGUGUGAAAAUUUUGUUGUGUUUAUGAAGAUCUUAUUAGUUUAAGUUCCAAAUAAUCUACUGAAAGUUAACAUUGUCAUACUUGUUGGUUAAACACUAUUGAAUAUAGGUUGUUUAUUAGUUUUAGCUUAAUAUGUCUAUGGGGUUCUAUACAAGAAGCAAUCUGACCAUCCUAUCCUGUUAGAUAACCCUUGUCAUAUUCACUGUUAGCAUAGUCUCUUGUAAGGAUAAUGUUGAUGUCUAAAAUGCUUAUCUUAUGUUGCCUAAUAUGUAAUGAAGUUCUUGUCAUUAAGUGAUUGUUUUGAGUUUGGUUUGGUGACCUAUAGCUUUAGUAUGUAAUGACUUAAAAUUGCCUAAAAGAAAACCGUGCUUGGUUCUCUUCUUGUAAGACAUUAGGCCCAUGUUGAAAUCCACGUGAAUAGGUGUAUGUUUGGAUGAAAUGUUUUUUGUUGACUCUUUUGACACCUUAGAUAGCUUAGGAUGACACUUCACAACUUGAAAACAUCUUUGAUAUAGUAAGCAUACCUAUACGGAUAACUAAAUAGAAACCCUCAAUCAAUGGCCUUCUCUGAUCGUAUUUGACUGAAAUAAAGAUUCCUAAGAAGAUUAUGUAAGUGUCAUGGCAUGUAGAAUGAUUCUGAGUUGACUCUGAAUAACAACAACAACCCAGUAUAAUCUCACUAAUGGGGUCUGGGGAGGGUAGUGUAUACGCAGACCUUACCCCUAUCCUGGGGUAGAGAGGCUGUUUCCGAUAGACCCUCGGCUCCUUCCCUCCAAGAACUCCCCACCUUGCCCUUGGGGUAACUCGAACUCACAACCUCUUGGUUGAAAGUGGAGGAUGCUCACCACUAGAUUCUCACAACCUCUUGAGUUGACUCUGAGCUUUUGAAAUUUCUUAAAACCUUUUGAGGUCUUGUAUGUGAUGACAUACACUUGCAUCAUGUACUCUAACAGUGAUCAUUUACUAAGAGCACUUUGAAUUUGAGGCCUAUGCUAAUACUCUAAUUAUUCAUGUCAUUUUGUCUAACUGAUUGUUUAUUAUUAAUGAUAAUCUAGCUAUUUGAGACUGUUUAUGCUUUACUUAGUUCUUAAAUCUAUCAUGUUUAUUUGGCCUAAGGCCUUCUGUAUUGAAAGAAGCUUGUCUGUAGCUGUUUAUUUGAUGUUCUGAUUAGUCUGUUUUGCUCAUAGUGUUAAGUCAAGGUUUGUGUUUAAACCUCUAUGAAAGAACAAGGUUCAACGAUUAAGGGUAUUUGUUGUGAACUUAAUUCUACUAUCAAGGGACCCCUCCCUGACACAAGCACUGCUCGGAGUGCAAGAGGCCCUUAUGAACUCUAAAAUAUUAGGGGUUUCAUAGGAGAACCUUGUAAAUGAAUAAGGUUUGCUCUAGCCAAUGGUCUCUAACCUUGAUUAAUCUUUGGAGGGUUGUCACAAACGAAAAAUAUUUACUUUUUUUCAUUUUAGAUCUUGAUUAUAUCGAUCUUAAUUUAAUUUUUUAUUUCCUUUAUGCAGUGCCAAUUAAUUUUCUUUUCUUCUUUGCCUGAAUACAUUGGGUUUGUGGAGUUCAUGGCGAACUCUGGCCCAAAGCCACUGAGUUGGGCCAUCUCCCCUUGUUGCAUUCACUGUCCACUGGAGUUUUCUGCUGCUUAAGUUUGAACUGGGCAUGACUAAUCUUCAGCACAACACUAAGUCCAGUCCUUUACCUCACUUUAAAUCGUUGCCACUGUUAGCCUAUUUAUAUUUAUAUAUUGUAUUUUGGAACUAACAUUGAUAUUAUGUGAUUUUAUUUUAUUGUGUUUGCUUAGAAAAUAUCCUAGGAUAACCAAACCUCGUAGGAUAAAAGGUAAAAUGAUCAAGAUAACUCGUUACUUUAUAAGGUUAAUGAUUUUCAAGAUUCUGAAUAUAUAUUUAAAAUGUUUUACUCAUUAGUUAAAUUCUUUUCGCUCACCUGUGUUAUUCUGACAAAUUUUACUUAUUAAGAGCCUUUGUAGAAUUUAAAUAGAAAUAAUUUCGGAGGAAAUUUUCAAAUGAGUCAGUUGGGCGAAAUUCGACGGUUUACUCAUUUUGGAAAGAAAGGAAUCGUGUAAUUCAAAUCAGACCUGGAUUUUUACAAGGAUGUAAAAUCACUUUUGAAAAUCAAUUCAGUUUAUAUCAAAUGAAUCUUCAAAACAGCCAAGGUAUAACUCAUUUUCCACAUAUCUUUGGGUAUAUAAAAGGACUAACUACCAGCAUAGACUUGC